ensembl:lncRNA
GGCAGAAAUCUUUUAUUGAGAGCUACAAUUUGUAAAAAAAAAAAAAAAAAAAUAUUGUGGCAAAUAAGGAAACACAACAUAAAGAGGAAGAACAGCAGUGUCCACACAAAUAUGGGAAUGCAUAAUAUGCAUUCAUAACAACCACCACUGUAAUAGAUGUCAGAACAUUUAAUACAAUAAAAUGGAUCGAUGGAAACAAAGAAACGCUGAAGAUAACAGUGUUUUAGGCAACAUUAAAAAAAAUUAGAUUCACAGCAUAAUCAGUUUGGUCCACUGUGUUUGUGAACGAUAUCAGAUUCCAGUAAAAACCGUAGAAAAACCAGCUAAAGAACAUUAAAACCAAGUCAUAUGCAUGUAAUAUCAUAUAAUGGACUGAGAAAUUAUGGUGUAAUAUAAUACAAUAUAAUAUCCAGCAUUUUGCAAAGAGUAUGAAAGAAAUGUAAAGGGAAAAUCUUGAGUAACGUCCAAACACCACCCUACAAUCAUCUCACGCUUUCACAUGUCAUAUAAUUAACAACAAUAAAAAGCAAACCGUUGUUGUCUUAACAGUGCUGACAGAAUUAGACCUUAAAUUACUCAAAAGGCAUCAGGUUCAGCUGUCUUUGUGUUUUAUGUGGGACCCUGUACUUAAAUGGCUUGAAAUGAGGAAAAGCAUAUUUAGGUUUGAUACUUAUAUCCUAAAGCCUGUGUCCUGACAUCAGCACUUUAAUAACCAGACAGACGUGGUUAUAAUCUUUCAUAUCACUGUCCAGCUGGAAGAGCAUAGCUUUUAUUUUGUCAUAAUUUCAGGUCUCCUCUUCAGUCUGAGAGAAAAUAAACCGUAAUAAUGCUCAUACUUUCUUGUCCAGUGUGUGUUUGGGGUAUAGCUGAAAGCUGCAGAUGAUAAAGUCAUAUUUGAAACAGUAUUAUUUUACUAUCAUUAAGAUACUAUUACAGUUUUAAUUAAUAUUUUGAAUGAGGUUUUAUUUUAGUUUUUUUUAGAUGCUUUAUUUAUCUUUUUUUAAUAUUCUUUAACACCCAUAAAGUUUUUAUUUUAAAUAAGGUUUCGUUUUUAUAUUUUCUGUUUUUUUUUUUCACUUUAGUUAAAAUUUCAGUAAUUUAGUUUUUAUUAAUAUUUAGAAUUUUUUUUAAUUUUAAUAUUUUGUCCAUUUUCAUUUUAGUUAAUAAUUUAGCCACUUUCAUAUAUAUAUAUAUAUAUAUAUAUAUAUAUAUAUAUAUAUAUAUAUAUAAUUAUUUUAAAUUGUCAAUAUAGUUUUUAAUAGUUUGAAUGAGUUUUGUUUGU